GACAGAGGUGCCAAGUGUUAUCCGGAAUCACUGGGCGUAAAGCGUCUGUAGGUGGUUUAAAAAGUCUACUGUUAAAGCUUGAAGCUUAACUUCAAAAAUGCCGUAGAAACUUUUAAACUUGAGUAUGGUAGGGGUAGAGGGAAUUUCCAGUGGAGCGGUGAAAUGCGUAGAUCUUGGAAAGACCACCAAUGGCGAAGGCACUCUACUGGGCCAUAACUGACACUAAGAGACGAAAGCUAGGGGAGCAAACAGG
rnacentral:rRNA from 1 species